GAAGGUUGCCUUUUCAGAGUCAUGCUCAGCUGACUGAUAGCAUAAGCUUUGAACAUAGCAGCUAAUUUCUUUGUGUUUAUUAGCAGAGCUUAGCAGAUCUACAUGUGGGAGUGCUAGAAAACUUGGGGAGGAAAGAAGGCUGUAUCUAAUCCACAGGCAGCCAUGUGUACAGAGAGGGAGAGAGGAGACCUGUGUAUGAGGUGGUA
rnacentral:lncRNA from 1 species